AAUAAAAUUAUGGUUGAACAUUGGUUUUAAAGGAACACUCCAAGCACGUCAUGCUCACUGUAGUGGUUAUUGUGCCAGGAGUGCCCUGGGACCCCCCCAUUGUUUGUUGUCUCUACUGACGAUAGAGAGCAGUGAGGCCUUAGCUCAUUAGCUGAGUACAAUUAGCUCAUAUUUUCAGCCAAUACCAAACCAGUGUUCAAC